rnacentral:rRNA from 1 species
AUGAACGCUGGCGGCGUGCUUAACACAUGCAAGUCGAACGAUGAUCCGGUGCUUGCACCGGGGAUUAGUGGCGAACGGGUGAGUAACACGUGAGUAACCUGCCCUUAACUCUGGGAUAAGCCUGGGAAACUGGGUCUAAUACCGGAUAUGACUGAUCAUCGCAUGGUGGUUGGUGGAAAGCUUUAUUGUGGUUUUGGAUGGACUCGCGGCCUAUCAGCUUGUUGGUGAGGUAAUGGCUUACCAAGGCGACGACGGGUAGCCGGCCUGAGAGGGUGACCGGCCACACUGGGACUGAGACACGGCCCAGACUCCUACGGGAGGCAGCAGUGGGGAAUAUUGCACAAUGGGCGCAAGCCUGAUGCAGCGACGCCGCGUGAGGGAUGACGGCCUUCGGGUUGUAAACCUCUUUCAGUAGGGAAGAAGCGAAAGUGACGGUACCUGCAGAAGAAGCGCCGGCUAACUACGU